AGUGGAGCGUUCUGUAAGCCGAUGAAGGUGAAUUGAGAAGUUAGCUGGAUGUAUCAGAAGUGCGAAUGCUGACAUGAGUAACGGAAAAUAAGUGAGAUUCUUAUUGGCCGAAAACCCCAGGGUUCCUACGCAAUGUUAAUCAACGGAGGGUAAGCCGGCCCCUCUGGCGGAGCUGCCGAGUGAAGUCGAUGGUAACCCGGGUCAGAUUCGUGUGCUGGGUCUGUGAACG
rnacentral:rRNA from 1 species